UUAAUAAGUUCCUUAGAUUAUGCAUUAGUUUAGAGCAUUUAUGACUAAUCUCAGAUAUCCAAAUACUGUUCUUAUACAAGAUAAGAUAAAGAGCUGAAACAUUGCUUUUAAAGGUUUCAUAAAAAAGCACAAUAUCCUCUAAGGUUUACCUUUUCAAGUGUCAUAAAACAAUAAUAGGGCCUGACGCGGUGGCUCACGCCUGUAAUCCCAGCACUUUGGGAGGCCGAGGUGGGUGGAUCACAAGGUCAGGAGAUCGAGACCAUCCUGGCUAACACGGUGAAACCCCGUCUCUACUAAAAAUACAAAAAAUUAGCCGAGCGAGGUGGCGGGCGCCUGUAGUCCCAGCUACUUGGGAGGCUGAGGCAAGAGAAUGGCGUGAACCCCAGGGGGCCAAGCCUGCAGUGAGCCGAGAUAGCACCACUGCACUCCAUCCAGCCUGGGCAACAGCGAGACUCCGUCUCAAAAAAUAAUAAUAAUAAUAAUACAUAAUAUAUUUCAUGCUUCUAUUAAUGGCCAAAUAUUCCUAUGAAUAUUUACAGUUUUCAAAAGUCAUGUAGUGUUUUUAUAUAGGACAGAACAGGAUAGCUUAUUACUAUUGUUUUCUAAUUGCUGAGGCUAAUUCAUUUUUAUGCAGAAAGUAGGAUUUCAGAGCAGAAAGGGCUAGCAAGAGUGUGUGGCUUGGGAGAUGGUGACACAGGGUGGAGCCACACUGCAUUGCAUUGGAGGAACAUUCAGCUACUUUGAACAACAUUUAGUCUUCUAGUUAAUGCAGUUAGACAUUUUUAAACUUAUUUUUCCACUUGGCUCUUCAGUUAUCAAUUUGACAAUCAGGUCUAGUUAUUUCCUAUGAUUUCAAUAAAUAUAGCAGGCUAUUGUUUGAAAGAAUCUCAAUAUUAAGAGGCUGAGACAACGUAAGAACCAAAAGGCCUGAUUUUGCCACUCUAGAAAAAGUGGCUCUGCGAUCCCUACUGUCUUGGGUGUGUUUGCCCUUUUUUUUUUUUAUUUUUUUAUUUGUAAUGGAGAAUAAACAUCUAGGCAUCUAGGACAUAAUGGGAGAUGGUUAAAAUAAAAAGCAAAAAAAAGGACGUGAUAUGGGCUUCUAAACAUACAUAAACACAUUUCUUAACCCUAAGUUUCCUCAAUUGCUGUUUCUCAUUUAACUUACUUUCCAUUAAAAACAACAAGAAAAGCUACCAUAUAAAAUUCAUGAAUCUCCUCUGGGCUAGUUAGAAACAAAUGUCCUCUAUUGUAAGUAAAUGAAGGAAAGAAAAUUUGAAGAAGUCCUAUCUUCCUGCUAGAUAACCGCUGCCAUUUUUUAUAGUUAAAAACCUUCAGUUACCUACAAACCUAUAGUUACCUACAACCUGCUAACUAGAAAAUCCCUAAUAAAAUGCCUAACCUAGGUCAGCUUAACAUGAAAUUCUAUUACAGAUCUGAAUAAUUAUUUUUUCCCUGGAAAACAACUUGGUAUCUCCAUUCAAUGUUGAAUGAAGAGUACUUGUGUUUUUCACAUGUUCCGUGAAAGAACCAACUAUUCAAUUAAAGUUUGGCCAUACACAAGAAAUUCAGCAGUCUUUUUCUUUCAUAUUUUAUCAGUAAAAGAAGAUAAUUUUUCCUGAUAAUUAAAAAUAUUUUCUGAAUUAUAUAAUAUUUUUAAAAAUAGAUGUUUCUUUUAAAAGUUCCUAUUACUCAACAAUUCCACUCCUAUGUAUAUGGCCAGGAGAAAUUUAAAAAAAAAGUCAAUUCAAAAAAUGUCUAAAUGAAUGUUCAUAGCAGUAUUAUUUACAAUUACCAAAAAGUAGAAAUGAUCCACAUGUCCAGCAAGUGAAAAGUGGAUAAAGAUAAAUGGAUAAAUAAAAAUAUGUAUAUGAAUAUUAUUCAGAGAGAAAAUGAAUUCUGAUACCUGUUACAGUAUGAACUUGAAAAUAUUAUGCAAAAUGAAAGAAGUCAUUCACUAGAGACCCAUAAUUUGUCAUUUUAUUCAUAUGAAGUUUCCAAAAUAAAUAGAGAAAAAUGCAGAACAGUGGUUGCCUUGAACUAGGGUGGGUGACUGCUAAUAAGUAUAUGUUUUAUUUUAGGGGUAACAAGAAUGUUCUAAAAUUAGAAUGUGGUGGUGGUUGUACAGCUCUGUGAUUACACUAUAAACCUUUGAAUUGUACACUUUAAACAGGUGAACUGUAUUAUAUGUAAAUUAUAUCUCAAUUAUGCUAUUUAUUUUGAAAUAUCUAUACUAUUUUGUUUUGAAAUCUAGUAUAUUUUUAAAAAUCGUAUUAGUGAAGGAAUAGAAAAAAUACAUACAGGUAGCUUGACUUCAGGGAAAGAUAAUUAAAUAUUGCAAUAUUUUCUUAAAUUAAUACUACUUAAAGGCCUUUCUGGACUAAAUCAAAUCUUUAAUUUCUCAUAUACAGCAUUCUCAUGUCAUAAAUUAACAAUGACAACAACAAAAAUAUUCUUGAAGUUUGAUAUUUUGAGUGAUAAGAUAUUUUACAUCACAAUUCUUAUAAAUAAUGCCAGUGGAACAACAUUAAACAUGUUUUAAAGUCUUUAGAACUGUUUUAUAACAAAAAUUAUUAUAUCAAGUAAAUUACCCAUAAAGAAAAAUUUAUUAUCACAAGUUCUGUCAGUAUUUAUUGAGCCUUCAUUUUAUACUAUUUACUUGCAUUUAUCUGUCACUAGGCAAACCACUCUGCCAAUGAUGUUCUCUCUCCACUGAGUUUUUAAUAUGGUGGGAAAACAGAUUUGUCCACAUACAAUUGAGAUAAUAGGACUAAAAUAAUUCUCACAAUAAUAUGGAAAUAAAACUGGUAAAUUCCAAAGUUAUGCUCAGCUCUGGAAAUUCAAGACUAGUAUUCAGUGACCUACUAUGAAGCUCUCUUGACCAUCUCUGUUUAUUUGCCUAAGAGGCACUUCAAGCUUUGCACAUGCCUGAUGGGACUCCUAAUCUCCAUUGCCUACCACACUUGUUCUUCUCUCCGUGUUACUUAAUUCUUCCUCAUUACCGGUUGUCAAGCCACGCAUUGUAGUCAUCCAUGACUUUCUCUUUCUUUCACUCCCCACCUCCAAUCUAGUCUACCAGCAGAUCCUGCCAUCCUUCCUUCCACAUAAAUCAGCCUCUAAUGUUUCUCACCAGGACCACUGCAGUGUUGUCUCUGAGCUUCCAACACAGCAGCUGGAGGGACCCUUCAUCACCACAUAAUAGACUAUGUGCCAUUCUCUGAUUCAAGUAUGAAGCUUCCCUUCACACUUGGAAUAAAACCCACUCUUCUUUGCCACGCCCUCCAGGCCUGCACCUGCUGCUCCCUCCUCUUGUCCCUGCACUUUACCUCUCCCAGGCCUUCAGCAUUCCUCACCAGUGCUGUGCUCUCUGCAGUAAUUUCCAACUUUCUGUAUUGUCUGCUAGGAACAUCCUUCCACAUAUUCCCAUGGUGCUGCCGUCACCCCAGCCAGUUCUCCUCUCCUUGACUGUUACCUGCUCAAAGUCAUCCUUGAAGUCCUCAAAGUCAUCCAUAAUCACUGCCCCCCGGAAUUUUUCUCCAUAGCCUUUACUGCUUCUUGCAAUUACAGCAAAUACAUAUUGGUCUAUCUAUGCACUGUCUGUUUCCUCUGCUAGAGCAAAACCUCCCUGAAGUCAAGGCCCUUUGUGUUGUUUGACACUGGAUCUCCCAGACCUGAAACCGGGCUUGGUAUACAGUAGGCAUUCGCUAAAUAUUUGUUGAGUAGACAGAUGUGUCCAGAGAAAUUAAAGAAACAUGAGGGCUUGCAGCAGCUUCACCCAGGAUGAUCUUUUUAUCCUAGAAUGAACAGAAUAAGUUAGAGUGGAAGCAGACGUAAUGAGGGAACUGGAGACAGAAUACGGAGAAAGACCUGAGUGAAAGGAUAUGUUAUAUUCAAUAGAAAUAGGAGUUUUGGGGGUGAGGUUAGUGCGUAGAAUAAAAUUGAGAAGUUGAGGUCAUAUUUAGAGGGUCCUUCAACAUCAGUAUCAAGAACUUUGAACCUUAUGUUACAAACAACAUGGAAAUGAAUAAAGGAAUUGGGUUUUUAAUAAAUUUUAUUGUGCACAUAUGUGGUUUAUCACAUGAUGUUAUGGGAUAUGUAGAUAGUAAAAUGGAUACUGUAAUGAAUCAGAUUAACAUAUCUGUCAUCUCGCAUAGCUACUUUUUGUGACAAGAGCAGCUUAAAUCUAUUUACUUAACAGAAAUCCCUACACAAUAAACUUUUAUGAACAUUAAUCCUCACUGUACAUCCCACAAAUCUGCUGUUUUGCAUCCUUGGACCUACAUCUUCCCAUUUCCUCCUCUACUCCCUGCCUAUGCGUAAGUGUUUGAUUUUUUUUUUUUUUUUUUUUUUUUUUUUGAGAUAGGGCCUCACUCUGUAGUCCAGGCUGGAGUGCAAUGGUGCAAUCUCAGCUCACUGAAACCUCUGCCUCCCAGGCUUAAGGAUCCUCCAGCCUUAGCAUCCCAAGUAGCUGGGACUACAGGCACAUGCCACCACACCCAGAGACAGGAUUUCGCUAUGCUGGCCAGCUGGUUUAAACUCCUGGCCUCAAGUGAUCCGCCUGCCUCAGCCUCCCAAAGUGCUGGGAUUACAGGCAAGAGCCACCGUUCCCUGCCUUGAUUCUUGAUUUCUGUGUGUUUGAGCUCUUUUUUAAAAAAAAACAAAAUUUCACAUGUAAGUGAGAUGAUGCAAUAUUUUUCUUUCUGUGUCUGGCUUUUUUCACUUAGCAAAAUGUCUUCUAGAUCUACUAAUGUGGUAAAUGGCAGGGUCUUCUUUUUUUUAAGACUGAAUAAUACUUCAUUACACACACACACACACACACACACACACCAGACACACAUUUUCUUUAUUCAUUUGCCCACGGAUGGACGUUUAGGUUGUUUCCAUAUCUCGGCUUUUGUAAAUAAUGCUGCAAUGAACAUAGGAAUACAGGUAUCUUUACAAGGUAGUAAUUGCAUCUCCUUUGGGUAUAUGCCCACAAGAGGGAUUACGGGGUCAUAUGGUAGCCCUAGUUUUAUUUCUUUAGGAACCUCCAUAUUCUUUUUAAUAAUCACUGUACCAGUUGACGUUCCCACCAAUAGUGUAUUAAAGUUCCCUUUCUGCCACACCUUGCCAACAUUUGUUAACUCUUGUAUUUCGUAUAAGAGCCAUUUUUAUGGGUGUGAGGUGAUAUCUCAUAGUGAUUUGAAUUUGCAUUUGCCUGAUGAUUAGUGAUGCUGAGUGCCCUUUCAUGUACCUGUUGGAAUUUAAAAAUCAUUUGUUACCUUUUGAACUUUUUUUUUUUUUUAACUUACAUUAUUAAGCAGUACUAGUUACUGAAGGGUCCAUUAAAAUGUCGGUCUAUUUUGUCUUAACAUUUCUGUCUUCUGCAAAGGCCACAGUUUCAAAUGCCUUAAAGAAUGAACUGGGCAGGAAAACUGAAUGAAUGAGCUGGCCUGGCUGAAGUUCCUGUGAAAGUAAGCCUGGAGAUGGCUUGCCCCACCAAACACCAUUCACAUUCAAUUUUAUGUUUUGAGCUUGGUGGUAAACAUAACCAGUCUGCUGGUAGAAUUGAGCGUGUGGGCUCUGAGCCUGCAAGAGUGCUCUCAAAGCUGAAGUUAACUAACUGGGCUGCCUCUUGGGCUGGAUAUACUGUGGGAUGUGGGGCUGCCUUCUGCGGAACUGUCGCUCUUUGAUGGCCAUUUUCAUAAAUACAGAAAUGGACAAUCUGCACUUCCAUUUGUAUUUUUUUAAAAGAAAAAAUAAAUACUCAUUACUUAACAGUAUCAAAAUUAAUUCAGCUAUAUUUCCUGAAAGCUUUUAGGAGGUUAAAUUUUACAGAAAAACACAACUAUCGGGGGAAACAUCUAGAUUUAAUCAUGCGCCUGUUUUCACUUUUCUCUCAUGGUCUGAAAAAAUAUGUAACAUCUAGAAUGUGUUGUGUAAAUGGUUAGAAGAAGCAUAAUAUCUGACGGAAGUUUUCAAAGGUAGGGAUGCAUCCAAAGCCCCAAGAGGAAGGGUUAAGGAGCUUAGAAUGUUCAAGGUAACCUGUGGUGAUGGUAACCACGUGGAACAGGUGGUUUCCAUGGAGGCAUAUUCUCAUCAAGGCCAUCAUAGCUCUCAUUUGUUUUAUGAUAGUCAUUGAAAUCCUUCACUGUAGCUUACCUAUCUAAAUUAAUCACAAUUAAGCUAAACAAUAAUAAUCUCUUUGCAUAUUAAAAAUCUACCAAGGAAUUUAACUCAGAGGAUUAUAGGAGAAAGACUGUUUGCAUUUGCUACAGGCCUUUAUUGAUAGAAUAGCAUUGGAUGUGGAUCUUAAAUCAUCCUGAAAGAUGUACUUGAAGAAAGUGUACAUCAGAGGAAUGGAGUAACUUUCCCGAGCAUGGCAGAUAAACCUGGUGAUAAGCACGACCACAUUUGUAGAGAUGACCAUAUAGCCAUGUAAGAUAAAUGAAAACACAGCAAUAUUAUAUAAUGAAUAAUGAUAUACAUAGGUGUUAUGGCUUUAAUAAAAAUAUGUUUAGGUCAUUAUUUGAAAUUAUAUAUUGUUCUAUAUGACUUUUACAUAAACUAUGUUUAGAUAAAACAGUAAAACUCAUAUCAGUGCCGAUUUAAUAGUAAUUAAGAGUAUAACUAAAAUUAUAUAUGUCAAAAAUAAGACUUUUUAUAUUUAUUCAUUUUCUGAGAUAUAGCAAUUUAUUUUAACUUCUUGUUAAACCUUUUAUUGGAUGUUUAAAUUUAUUAGGCUGCAUAUAUUAUGGAAUGAUAGUAUUGAUAAAUCUAAGAAUUUUAAAAAGAAAAAUUUAAAAAUAGGACUACUUAAGUAGAUAGUGCCUGUAUUUAAAAAAUUAUAUAUUGCAUUCUGUCCAUGCUUCAGUAGAAUAUUUUAAAUCUUUGUUUCCUGAUAUGGUUUGGCUCUGUGUCACCACCCAAAUCUCAUCUUGAAUUCCUACAUGUUGUGGAAGUGACCUGGUGGGAGGUAAUUGAAUCCUGGAGGGAGGCUUUUCCUAUGUUGUUCUCGUGAUAGUGAAUAAGUCUCACAAGAUCUAAUGACUUUAUAACGUGGUGUUUCCCUGCACAAGCUCUUUCUUUUUUGCCUGCUGCCAUCCAUGUAAGAUGUGACUUGCUCCUCCUCGCCUUCCACCAUGAUUUUGAGGCUUCCCCAGCCACGUGGAACUAUAAAUCCAAUAAACCUCUUUCUUUUGUAAAUUGCCCAGUCUCACGUAUGUCUUUUUCAGCAGCAUGAAAAUUGACUAAUACAUUUCCUUUUCCAAUAAUGCUUCUGGGGACUGCCUGUAGCCUUUAGCACAUCAUUUGACAUGUUGUGGUAAAACUGAACUUGAUUAAACAGAAAUUUCACUCUGACUGGCAGCUCUACUCCUACCAGACACUCAUGGCACUGCUUCCAGGUGUCAGUCCAGUGUGAUGACAUCAAGCUAAACACCCUCUCAGCAAUAGCAUUGGAGCCUGGGAUCCUGAUGUUUUCAUUUACUAGCAACAGCAAGUUUUAGACCUGUAGGAAUCAGUUGUCUGCUCUCCAAAAAUUUCCAUUUACUUUGUAUCUACAGGCUUGUUUUGGGAGACCAGCUGUUUGUCGGUCAGGUCCUUUGCAUCUAUAAACUCAUCAUACUAUUCGUGCCUAAAAUGUCUGAUAUUUUUAACAUUUCAAAACACGUUGUAUGGUAUCUCAAAUUGCUCUUUCUCAGGGAAAAUACGUUUAAAACCCAGAGAUAAUUUGAACUUGUUAAAUCAAAGGUAGUUUACAAUUCUAGUAAAGAAAUUGAGAAAGAACAAUUUAGCUUGUUUGCCCAUUUCUGGUAAUAUAUAUUACCAGAAUUAAAAUAUACAUAUAUUUCCACUCUAAAGCAGUCAUGUUUCAAAAAUAUAUGUAAUUUUAUGAGUUUUUGUCAUAACCUACACAUGGCAUUGAACAAAGAUGUAGACAGUUCAUCCCUCUCAAGUCUCCUUGCCUCUUCAAAGGUCAUCAAACACUUUUGGAGAAGCAGCAUGUAGGUUUCUGGUUUUUACUCUAGUCAUUUUCUUUAUUCUUAUCCUCAAUGAACAUCAGAUUAGUGAGGGACACUCUUCUUGUCUCAAACUCUGAAAGUAUGAUUUUAAUGCAGAUCAGCAUUUUAACGCAUUUUCUAUGGCUGGCAACAAUGAUAACCAUCUUGUCUACAAAGGCUAUCUUCUUCCUACCUGUGAUUUCAAAAAAAAUGAUGCUUUAUGUUUUGAGGAAACUGAACAGUGACCACAACUUUAACUAUGAAAACCUCAACACCACUGGAAAUCAAAUCACAUCCUGUGUAAGUAGUAUUGUCUAAAGGGUAUACAAGACACUUAGAAGGUUUUUCCAGGGAGGGGUUUGACGUAUAGAAUUUAUAGUCUGUAUGGAAUUUGUGAACAUUCACAUGUGUACUUUCUGCCAAGUAUGCAGAUAAACUAGCAGAGUCUAUUUGGCAUUGGACGAGAUAUCAAAAAUCAACAAUUUUCAUUUUAUGCUUUCUGUGGUUUCAUUAAAAUCUUCAUAGAAAUCAAGAUGAUGACUUUAAUCUCUAUUUCUAAAUCAAAGUGUACCUAAGAGCUAAGAACAUUUUUUCACAUUUUUGUUGACAUUGUUAUUGCUGUAAUUUGGUGCAUCUCUUUAUAUACCACAAAAAGCACAAUUGUUUGUAGUAUCUGACAAAAUCAGCUCUACACUAUAUAGGCCAACACAUCUGUUGUCAAAAUUUUCCCUUUUGUUCAAACUAGAAAUAUCUUACUUGCAACUUCUGAUGCAGGAAAUGUGACUUGACUCAGUUUCAUUGAGCAAUCAAGAGAAUGAUGUGAUGAUGUAUCCGUUUGUGUGGUGUGCUCAAACAGUAAUGCCUCUAUGUCCGUCUGGGAAUUGGUGUCCUUUUGGAAGACAAACUCUUUUGCUUGGUUUAGAAGCACUUGCUUGUCUUACACUCUACCCGUGAGACUUAGUCUCCGUAUGUGCUUUUACAUUCUGUUCUUCACAAUGCCCUAACCCAAAUUAUUUCCAUAGAUGGUGCAGUAUUCUCUGUUUUGGUUCCUUGUUCCCCCGAUUCAGUUGGUUGUAUGUGUUCUUCUAUCUGUCAUUAAAAAUCACACAGUCGUUUAGCCUUUUACAGAGAUACCUGGGUCAUUCCCAUUUGCACUAUUUGAACUUUUAGGAAACGCUGUCAUGCUAUUUUUAAUGUCAGAAAUUAAACUAAUAACACCUUUAUACAAAGUACAGUAGUUAACCCGUAGGUAAAGCAAACAGACUGCAAGACUCAUGGUUCCAAUGUACUUGAAUCUCAUUGCUCAGUUAUGCAGCAAUGAAUGAUCCAUCAGUCUGGACCACAAAUCAUGGUUGUGAACAUCAGGGCCUGGGGACAAACAGCACAAGCAACCAUGGAAGGUAGACCAUUCUAUGCCACGUCUACUCAAAAUGAAAAGCAGUGUUGAUUUCAGCUCUCAUCUUUUCAUCUUCCAUUUGGGUUUUGCCCUUUUAUUCUGUUGCUUUUUUCUCUUUAUCAACAAAGUCAGCAAGUGCCUGGUUCCAUCCAAGCCAUCUCUAUUUGGAGCUAUUAAUGUGAAUGAUUACACAACCCUUCUGUCUACCUGCCUUUUGGUGUUAGCUACCCAAAUUAUUGAAUUAAUUUGUCCUCUUAUGACUAUCAAAAGGUGAUUCUUUUGGUAAUUUUCAUCUACCAGUUUAAGCAUGGCAAGAAGACAAGUGUUGGUCCUAUAUGAAUAUUUUUAUUAUAUGUCACAAUCAUCUGUUUUUAUCAGUAGUUCUAACAGUUGAGUCUCAAAUCAUAUCAAUUUUCAGAACCACAUUUAUGAAGUAGAAAUAAUUUUUAGUGUACUGAAAUCAGAUCAUUAGACCUAUGUAUAGACAACCAAAUUGUUAAAUAAUGAAAACAAUAUGUCUUCUGCACAGACCAUAGUUGUCUCUAAUGCAUAGAUGUGUGUGCGUGUGUGUGUGUGUGUGUGUAUAAUUUUGAGAGAUGGAGUCUCACUCUUUCUCCCAGCCUGGAGUCCGGUGGUGCAAUUAUAGUUCAUUACAGCCUGGAACACUUGGGGUUCAAGCCAUCCUCUCACCUCAGCCUCCUGAAUAGCUGGAACUACAGAUAUGCACCACCACGCAUUGCUAUUUUUUGUUUGUUUUUAUUUUUUUACAGACAUGGUUUCACUGUGUUGCGCAGGCUGGUCUUGAACUCCUAGACUCAAGUGAUCCUCCUGCGUUAGUCUCCCUGGGAUUGCAGGUGCGAGUCACGGCACCUGACCAUAAUAUUUUUGUUUUAUUUUUACCGGCAAUUUGUUCCAACCCCCUCAGAACUGUAAACUUCUUUAUUUCUAUACAUUCCUAACUGCUCAUUUUACUGCGGUCAAUAUUUUUACAGGUGGAAUAAACAUAGCAUUUCCUUCUGUAGACAGAAGGUGAUAUAGUUAACCUCAUGCACUUUCAUCCACUAAGACUCCAAGUCAAAUGCCACCACACUGCAGCACACCCAAGACAGCCUGAUCUACCUGCUUCCAGGAGUUCACACAAUGUACAGGAAAAGGUACAAAGUAAAUUUAACUUUCCAUUAUUUUUUUUUCUGGACUUAUUUCUUAUUGUACAAAGAUUUCCAGACGACUCCUUUUCCAUUUCACUCAUUCCCAUUUCUGCUUUAUUGAGCAGCACGGCGCCUCAGCUUUGAAAGUCUCUUGACCAGAGUGAUUUUUAUUUUCCUCACACAUAAAAUGGAAAUAGAAAUAUCUUUUUGGGCGUAUCAGGGCUAUCAUGAGAGGAUAAAGCCAUCAAGCUGUAAUAAUGGUUAUGAAAGCACUUCCAACAAUAAAACAGUGGAUGAUCCACUGUUGCACAAAAUUAUAGCAACAAAUUCUAAUUCAGCCACAUUUGUUCUUAAUAACAGAUUGCUCUGUUUUUUCAUAAUUAUUCUACAUAUUAAUAUCACUGUGAAGUCAUUACAACAGCUGUCUCUUUUUGGUCACAGAUGUUUUAUUUUCAAAGAAAACAAAAUUGUGUACGUUUUUUUUUUCCUUGCAAUUCUGAUUGAACCAGUUUUAUAUCUAAAGAACUACAGAAAUAUCUAUUCUUGCCUAUCCGUGAUGUAUAGCCAUUAUCAAAGUCCUAUAAGUUAAUCUUUAUGAAUCACAGUUUAUUCCUUUUGGUAUUUAAAAAACAUCCUAUUUACAGACAGCGCAAAACUGAUAGAAAAGUAGGAAGAGAGAAAAUUAAAUAGCCAAUUAGAAAAAUACUGUAGAAUUGCAGUUCCAGAGUAUGGAUAGGAUAUCAUAGCAAGCUGUUGAGCAAGGCGAGGAAGGCUUCUUUGAGGAGGUGACCAUGAACUGAGAGAGGGUUUAUGGAAUGAGAAAGGUAAGGAAUGUAAGGAAGCUGUGGUGCAGGGAAGAAUAUGCAGCAACAAGAGGACAGUACUGUAGGGUUCGUAGACCGUCAAUCUGGUACCAUUUCUGGAGCCAUUAAUUCCUCAUAUGAGGGUAAGUUUAAGACAGGCUUGUGGCUGGGAACAGUGGCUCACGCCUGUAAUCCCAGCACUUCGGAAGGCUGAAGUGGGCAGAUCGCCUGAGGUCAGGAAUUCGAGAACAGCCUGGCCAACAUGGUGAAACCCAUCUCUACUAAAUAUACAAAAUUAGCCGGGUGUGGUGGUGGGAGCCUGUAAUCCCAGCUACUCGUAAGGCUGAGGCAGGAGAAUUGCUUGAACCCAGGAGGUGGAGGUUGCAGUGAGCCGAGAUUGUGCCACUGUCCCACUGUCCUCCAGCCUGGGCGACAGAGUGGGACUCUGCCUCACAAAAAAAAAAAAAAAAAAAAAAAAAAAAAACCCAGACAGAUUUGUAAAAAUGAAACAAGUGUACAUUUGGAGCCUACCAGAGUACCUUAAAAGAUACAGAUGCCCAGACAUCUUUCAGCAGGAUAAUAAUAAUAUUAUAAUAAUUUGAAUUAUAUUAUCAUUAAUAUUUAAAAUUGUUGAUCCUAUUAUUUCUUCUCUUUUACUCCUAUUGUCUGUCUUCAAAUUAUUUAUUUUUAAUUUUUACAAUAACCUUCUAAGAAUUAAAUGUGCACUAUAAUUUAUACCAUCUUAUAUUUACUAACGACUUAUGGAAUGUUGCAAAGAGAGAGAGUGUUGGUGGAGGGCAAAGGUAGUGAGAAUAUGGCACAAACAAGACAUUAAAUAUGGGGCAAGGUAGAGACAGGUGAGUUUUUUUUUAACAGUAGUUUCUGAUGUGGUUGUUUUGAUAAUGUUCACAUUCCAGUUAUUACUUCUGCUUCCGUAGUUGUAUCAUUAAUCUUUGCAGGAGUAGAAUGAUAGGGCUGCCCUCACUCACAGGGUACCUCUGGGGAGAUGGAUCAGGGAUGCUCUUCUAGUAGGCUCAGUCUCUGAAUCACUGGACUGCAGCUCCCUGAGUGGGGCCCGAACUCUGCAAACACUAUGCAGUUAAAAAGUCAGCAUCCUAUAUGCUUCUGAAAACUGUCAUCUCCACAGAUAUCAUUCACUUUUUCCUUUUCAUUCUCAAACCUGUAGUCAGUCACCUGGAGGACUUUCUUGCAAUGUGUGUCACAUCUUGUAACUGACAAAGUCAUUUCUAUGUGACCCUAGAGGGUAAAAUAGGCAAACUCUGUAAGCCUUUAUAAAUGUUCUGAACCUGGUCUGCCACCACACCUGUACAACCAUCCUUUCAGUUGGUUCCAUCUCAACUAAGUGUUCCAUUGUUCCAGGAAUCAGCUCAGGACGUUUCGUCUGCCACAAUUUCAUGUUUUCUGUCUUCUUGAAACAAACACCUCCAGCUGUAAUCCACUGGCUUGUUGGAUUUAUAAGGAGUUCAUCAGAUACCUUUAAGAUAGAGAACUUUGUGGCUUUUUUGAGUUGAGUGUGGAAGAUACAUGGCUUAACAGCAAGCUGGGGUAGGGGCACAGGUAUCCUUGUUGCUAGAAGGUUUAGUGUCUUGUCUUUGCAGAAUAUGCAGGAGUUUAGUGAAACUGAUUAAAUAUUCCUAUUAGCCUCUCAAGUACAUUAUGUUAUUAUUCAUCAUUUCUUAUAUUACAUUGUGUUUCUACCCAAUAAACUUGAAGAGUAAACCCCAAGUGUGUGACGACUAUAUAGAUACUGGCCUUUAAAAAAAAAAGACUUUUAAGUUCAGGGUUACAUAUGCAGGUUUGUUACAUAGGUAAACGUGUGUCAUGGGGGUUUGUUGUACAGAUUAUGUCAUCACCCAGGUAUUAAGCCUAGUACCCAUUAGCCAUUUUUCCUGAUCCUCUCCCUUUUCCCACCCAUCACCCUAUGAUAGGCUGCAGUGUGUGUUAUUCCCCUCUGUGUGUCCAUCUAGUCUCAUCAUUGAGUUCCCAUUUAUAAGUGAGUACAUACAGUAUUUCGUUUUCUGUUCCUGUAUUAGUUUGUUAGGAUAAUGGCCUCCAGCUCCAUCCAUAUCCCAGCAAAAAACAUCAUCUUGUUCUUUUUUAUGACUGCAUAGUAUUCCAUGGUAUAUUUUCUUUAUCCAGUCUAUCACUGAUGGGCAUUUAGGUUGAUUCUGUGUUUUCGCUAUUGUGAACAGUGCUGCAAUGAACACAUGCGAGUGUGUGUCUUUGUAAUACAACAACUUGUAUUUCUUUGGGUAUAUACCCAGUAAUGGAAUUGCUGGGUUGAAUGAUAGGUUCUGUCUUUAGGUGAGGAAUUACCAUACUGUCUUCCACAAUGGUUGACCUAAUUUACUCUCCCAUCAACUGUGUGUAAACAUUCCUUUUUCUCCACAACCUUGCCAGAAUCUGUAAUUAUUUAAUAAUAGCCAUUCUGACUCGUGUAAAAUGGCAUCUCAUUGUGGUUUUGAUUUGCAUUUCUAUAAUGAUCAGUGAUGUUGAGAUUUCUGUCAGAUGGUUGUUAGUUGCAUGUAUGUCUUCUUUUGAGAAAUGUUCAUAUUCUUUGCCAGCUUCUUUUAUGGAGUUGUUUUUUUCUUGUAAAUUUGUUUAAGCUUUUUAUAGAUGCUGGAUAUUAGACCUUUGUCAGAUGCAUAGUUUGCAAACAUUUUCUCCCAUUCCAUAGGUUGUCUGUUUACUCUGCUGAUAGUUUCUUUUCCUAUGCAGAAGCUCUUUAGUUUAAUUAGAUCCCAUCUGGUACCUUCAUCAUUAAAUCUUUGCCCAUGCCUAUGUUCUGAAUGGUAUUGCCUAGGUUAUCUUCCAGGGUUCUUACAGUUUUGUGUUUUACAUGUAAGCCUUUAAUCCAUCUUGAGUUAAUUUUUGUGCAUGGUGUAAGGAAGUGGUCUAGUUUCAAUUUUCUGCAUGUGACUAGCCAGUUAUCUCAGCACCAUUUUUUGAAUAUGGAAUUCUUUCCCUAUUGCUUGUUUUUGUCUGGUUUGUCAAAGACCAGAUAGUCUGAGGUCUUAUUUUUGGGUUCUGUAUUCUGUUCCAUUGGUCUGUGUGUCUGUUUUUAUACCAGUACCAUGCUGUUUUGAUUACUGUAGCUCUUUAGUGUAGUUUGAAGUUGGGUAGCUUGAUACCUCCAGCUUUGUUCUUGUUUAGGAUUGCCUUGGCUAUUCAGGCACUUUUUUGGUUCCAUAUAAAUUUUAAAGCAGUUUUCUCUAGUUCUGUGAAGAAUGUCAAUGGUAGUUUAAUGGGAAUAGCAUUGAAUCUAUAAAUUGCUUUAGGCAGUAUGACUAUUUUAAUGAUAUUGAUUCUUCUAUCCAUGAGCAUGGAAUGUUUUUUCCCAUUGAUUGUGUCAUCUCAUCUCAGAUUACUUUGAGCAGUUAUUUGUAGUUCUCCUUAGAGAGAGCUUUCACCUUCCUAGUUAACUGUAUUCCUAUGUAUGUUAUUAUUUUUGUUGCAACUGUAAAUGGGAGUCCAUUCAUGAUUUGGCUCUCAGCUUGACUAUUAUUGGUGUAUAGGAAUGCUAGCAAUUUUCGCACGUUAAUUUUGUAUCCUCAGACUGCUAAAAUUGUUUUUUAGCUUAAGAAGCUUUGGGGCUGAGACAAUGGGGUUUUCUAGAUAUAGAAUUCUGUCAUCUGCAAACAGGGAUAAUUUGACUUCCUCUCUUCUUAUGUGAAUGCCCCUUAUUUCUUUAUCUUGUCUGAUUGCCCUGGCCAGAACUUCCAGUAGUAUGUUGAAUAAGAGUGUUGAGAGAGGGAAUUCUUCUCUUGUGCCAGUUUUCAAGGGGAAUGCUUCCAGUUUUUGCCCAUUUAGUACAAUAUUGUCUGUAGUUUUGUCCUAUAUGGCUCUUAUUAUUUUAAGGUAUGUUCCUUCAAUAUGUAGUUUAUCAAGACUUUUUAACAUAAAGGGAUGUUGAAUAUUAUUGAAAGACUUUUCUGCAUCCUUUGAGCUAUUCAUGUGGUUUUUUGUCUUCAGUUCUGUUUAUGGGAUGAAUCACAUUUAUUGAUUUGUGUAUACAUCCAGCAUCUCUGGAACACAGCUAAGACAGUAUUAAGGGGGAAAUGUAUAGCACUAAAUCCCCAUAUCAAAAAGUUAGGAAGAUCUCAAGUUAAUAACCUAACAUCACAACUAAAAGAACUAGAGAACCAAGAGCAAACAAAUCCCAAAGCUAGCAGAAGACAAGAAAUCACCAAAAUCAGAGUGAACUGAAGGAGAUAGAGACAGGAAAAAAAAACAUUCAAAAGAUCAACGAAUUCAGGAGGUGUUUUUUUGAAAAAAGUUAAUCAAAUAGGCCACUAGCUAGCCUAAUAAAGAAGAAAAGAAAGAAGAUUCAAAUAAACACCAUCAGAAAUGAUAAGGGGGAUAUUACAACUGACCCCACAGAAAUACAAACAACCAUCAGAGAAUAUUAUAAACAUCUGUAUGUGUAUAAACUAGAAAAUCUAUAAGAAUUUGAUAGAUUCUUAGAUACAUACACUCUCAAGACUGGACCAGAAAGAAAUUAAAACCCUGAACAGACCAAUAACGAGUUCUGAAAUUGAGGCAGUAAUAGCCUACCACCAAGAAAAGCCCAGGACCAGACAAAUUCACAGCUGAAUUCUGCCAUAUGUACAAAGAGCCAGUACAAUUCCUACUGAGACUAUUCCAAAAAAUGGGAAAAAGGGGAGUGCGCCCUAACCCAUUCUAUAAGGCCAGCAUCAUCCUGAUACCAAAACCUGGCAGGGGCACGACAAAAAAAGACAACUUCAGGCCAAUAUCCUUGAUGAAAAUUUAAUGCAAAAAUCCUCAAAAAAAUACUAGCAAACUGUAUCCAGCAGCAUAUCCAAAAGCUUAUGCACCAUGAUCAAGUAGGCAUCAUCCGCAGAAUCCAAGGUUGGUUCAACAUAGGCACUCUUUUUAAAAUUUGUUAUAGGUAAAUAACGAAAUCUCGCACAGUGUUUAUCAAGCAGUGGAUACACAUGUCCACUCCGUAGGUCUUGUGCAUGGCAUAACUGUGUGAUGCACACCCUAAUGUAUUUUAAGUAAUCAAAGUUUUCAAACUGUUGGUCAUAAAUCCCCAUUUUUUAAAACAAAAGUCUUCUAUUUAUUUGUAAGUACCUUAUCAACAAUGUAUUCAUCAUCCAGAAGAAUAAGAUAUGCCCUGACACUUGGAAAGUUGUUUGCCAAGUGAUAUCUGUGUGGGAUUGCGAGUGAAAAUUACCAGUGCUUUGCCCAUUCUUAGUUAUUCCAGAUAAUUUUCAAAUAUUAAUAUUGUCCAUUUAGAAUUCAAUGUCCAUGUACUUAAAAAUAAGACAUUUUGUGUGUUGUGGCAAACAUGUCAUGAUGUGUGUGAGAGUAGAUGGUAGAUGAUGCUCCUCAGCCACGGGUGGUCUGGAACUCAUCAGAUGAUGGGAGUCGUCUGAGGAUACACAGACAGAAGCUGAACUGAGGAAUUCAUGUCUAUAACUAUAUCAUGUUCUACUUUAUGUAUAAUGAGGUCUCUCUGUUUACAAGUUGCUAGAGGCCUUACCAAAAUUAGGUUUCAGAAUGUUUAUGGACAGAUAACUCUUUGUAGACUUUUAGUGAAGUCUUUGUAUGGAAUAUAUUAAGAAAAUAAUUGUACUGUUUCUCAAAAAAAGUUUACUUCCAUGAAACAUGAUAAAAAAUGAACUCCCUUCAAUAUCCAAAAGCAGGGAGUUGAAAUAUUAUAUGAAAAGAAGGGAAUGAGGAGAAGCAAAGAAAGGCCGCAUUCAUUUUUGUGCUUCUUUCUCAGGAAAAAUCAGAUUGGAAAGAAGAAGUGAGAAAUUAAAACUGAAGCAUCCUUAUGUCACCUUGUGUGCCUCCAUUUUCUGCUAGUCUUUGGCUGGCUCUUCCCACAUCCCAUGUGAGAGCAGCAAGGUUCACCUACUGCAGCCCAAGACAUAUCACUAACGUAAGAGGGCAUCUAGCAUCUCUGUCCCCUGAUAUCCAGACCUGCUCUGUAGCCUCAGAGAUGUGGGGAUCUGGAAAAGAGGGAGAUUUGGGCCACGGUUUAAUACAAAAGCUGCUUCUUCCUAGA